CAUAAAAGUGAUGUCGUGAUGUUGACGCUUGUCACCGUUUGUUCUACAACAUCUCUUACCUCUGUCGUAUUGAUAUGGCUGUUUCAACAUGUCAGAUCACCUUCAUCUCUUGCAUCGUCCUCUGCAUGUCUUUAUUCCUACCUAAAUUAUUUUUACCCAGAUUGAAGAAAGAAACAGUGCAGUCGGAGGGUAAGAUAAGACAAAAAUGUAAUCCCUCAUUUAGUGUUUCAGUAAUGUCAGUGCUGAUUUGAGCAUCCCUGUGAUCUCUGUGCUCGGGUCACCUGUUAACCUCUACCAGCUCCCCGUGUGUGGCUUCAUAAUACAUUCAUUCUCUGAAGAUCAUGAUCACUGGGACACAGACUCCCAUUACAUCAAGCAUUAUAACCCUGAGGCCAUUGCUAGAGCCAAAGGUGUUGGCAAGCCAAAUCUCCUGGGCCAGGUCAUCCCCGUCUAUGGCUUUGGCAUCUUCCUUUAUAUCAUCUACUUGUUCUUUAAACAGCUGACCUCUAAGGAUAAACCUCAUCGACAAGGGUGCAGAUUCCCUAUACUGCAGUCAGAAUACACUUUUGAAGAGAUGCCUACUUGUCAGCUGGUGCAGAUGCAGGCCAGAAUGAGUGAAAAAGCCAGAGAAAAGAAAAUAUCUAAAGUUGUCCACCUAUCUUUCAGGUCACGCAGGGGCACACGGAGGCGUGAGGAGAGAAAUCUCAAACAGUUAAAGGAGAUCACCCAAAUGAUGCGGGAGAGACAGCUUUGAGAGGGAGCCUCGCCGGAGGAGGAGGCAGAGGAGGCCCCUUACACUGCAGAUUGGGAAGGCUAUCCAGAGGAGACCUACCCAGAGUUUGACAUGCCCUCCCACAGAGACAUAUUUCCUAGUGUUAUACUUGAAGAACCUGACCAAGUCAUACCCACAGCAGAGAAGCUUGCUGAGAGAUUGGAGAAGGAAGAAGAGGAGGAGAAUGAGCCUGAUGAUGUGUGUACUAAUGAGGAGGUAAAAGAGGAAAAUAAUGAGGGAGAAAAAGAAGAGGAUGACAAAGAUGAAGAAGAAGAAGAUGAGGAGGAGGAUGAGAUUGGAGAAGACCAGCUCUGUCUUCCUAAAAGUAUUGAUGAGGAUGAUGAGAAACUUGAAUACCCAGGUGAAAAAGAAGAGGAACAGAAACCAAGCAGGAGAAGACGACAAAUCACUUUUAGUGAUCACAGACACGUCUUCCAUUAUCCAAAGGGUGGAGCUGUUGGCUGCAAGUAUGAGGAAGAGGAUGAAGAAGAACUUAAUGGAGAAGAAUAGGAUAAUGAUAAUGAAGGGAAUGAAGAGGAAGAAAAUGGUGAUGAUAAAGACUGUGAAGAAGAAGAGGAGGAAGAUCAACGUAAUGAAGAUGGACAGGGUGAGACCAAGAAGGAGGAGGAUCCCCUAAUGGAGGCGGAGAGUCUGGGAUUCAAUGAUAAAGUGGAAUGUCAUCCUGAGGAACAGGAAGUAGACCUCAUUGACUUGAGGUAACCGUCAUCUCAAUCAAGUCAGAGUCUUCCAAAGCUCAAACCUCUGGGACUCUUAGAAUGCGUCACAAGAAACAAAAGGUGAAGAAGUGACGAGCUUGUCAAAAAAAAACAAUAGUCUUCUGUUCGAAUACCCUUUAGUUCAAACAUACCUUACUGUGAAUCUUUCUUGCUUCACUUAAGGAAACACUUUCUCUGUAACCAUUUAGGCUUUUCUAAGAUUUCAUUAAUCUGUUUCCAAGAACAUCUAGAUAAUAUUUUAGAGUAUGUUGUGUCAAAAAUAGGC
ensembl:lncRNA